rnacentral:rRNA from 1 species
UACAGAGGUCCCGAGCGUUGUUCGGAUUCACUGGGCGUAAAGGGUGCGUAGGUGGCUUUGCAAGUCUGAUGUGAAAUCUCCAGGCCCAACCUGGAAACUGCAUUAGAAACUGUGAGGCUGGAGGCUUGGAGGGGGAACUGGAAUGCUCGGUGUAGCAGUGAAAUGCGUAGAGAUCGAGCGGAACACCAGUGGCGAAGGCGAGUUCCUGGACAAGUCCUGACACUGAGGCACGAAAGCCCAGGGGAGCAAACAGG